CCCUUAGAUGUCCUGGGCCGCACGCGCGCUACGCUGAUGCAUUCAACGAGUUUUACCUUGGCCGAGAGGCCUGGGCAAUCUUUUAAACCUGCAUCGUGAUAGGGAUAGAUUAUUGCAAUUAUUAAUCUUGAACGAGGAAUUCCUAGUAAACGCAGAUCAUCAAUCUGCAUUGAUUACGUCCCUGCCCUUUGUACACACCGCCCGUCGCACCUACCGAUUGAAUGGUCCGGUGAAGCCUCGGGAUUGUGGCCAGUUCACUUUAUUGGGAGUUGGCUGCGAGAACUUGUCUAAACCUUAUCAUUUAGAGGAAGGUGAAGUCGUAACA
rnacentral:rRNA from 1 species